GCCGGAGGGAAUUCACGGGGAAAAAGUGUGCUCUAAAGUUUUUCAGGUAUUCAAGUAGAAGGAUGAUGAUCAAGCAUAAGUAUCCGAACCGAACACUCAAACAAACGCUUUCGUACUUGAUAUUUGGUUUUUUAAAACUAUGUAAAAAAAAAUUGUAGUUCCUGUUUUGUAUAUGUUUUCGUAGGAUUAACAUGUUGAUGUAUUAUCUAGUUAACAUUUCAAGUCUUGAAAGUUUUUGUAAACUCCAAAUUUGGUAUAAAAUGCAAGGUCUUAUGUA